GGGGGUGCACUGGUUUCGACGGGGUGUGCGAAGUUUAAAGUGCAUGCCGAGCUUGGACACGCUCGCUAAUCAGGUCCAGUUUGUUAUAGUUGCAAACGACGAAAACUACGCUCUCGCUGCUUAAUCCAGCGAGUGCCCUCUGGGUGCGAUGCCCGUAUCGCCCCAGCUGGGUAUCGGCUUAAACGGGAUCGCGUUGUUCACUGGCCUGGGUGAAACAACGCUAAACCUCACAGGCUCGCCAGUCGUGAUCCCUGUCAGUCGGGUAGCGGCUGGUUAAACGAAUAGACUGAAUAAGCAUGUAGAUCUUUAAAUGGAGGCACCCCGGACGGCGGUUCGACUCCGCCCACCUCCACCA
rnacentral:tmRNA from 1 species